rnacentral:lncRNA from 1 species
AUAUAAGCGUUGGCGGAGCGUCGGUUGUAGCACUCUGCGCGCCCGCUCUUCUGCUGCUGUUUGUCUACUUCCUCCUGCUUCCCCGCCGCCGCCGCCGCCAUCAUGAGGGAAAUCGUGCACUUGCAGGCCGGGCAGUGCGGCAACCAAAUCGGCGCCAAGAGCAGUGUGAACUCUUUAUUCACUCCCAGCCUGUCCUGUGGCCUGUCCCACUGUGUGCACUUGCUGUUUUCCCUGUCCACAUCCAUGCUGUACAGACACCACCAUUAAAGCAUUUUCAUAGU